rnacentral:rRNA from 1 species
UACGUAGGGGGCAAGCGUUGUCCGGAUUUAUUGGGCGUAAAGAGCGUGUAGGCGGCCAAACGGGUCAGCUGUUAAAACUCGAGGCUCAACCUCGAGACGUCGGUUGAAACCGUUUGGCUAGAGUCCGGAAGAGGAGAGUGGAAUUCCCGGUGUAGCGGUGAAAUGCGCAGAUAUCGGGAAGAACACCCGUGGCGAAGGCGGCUCUCUGGGACGGUACUGACGCUGAGACGCGAAAGCGUGGGGAGCGAACAGG